rnacentral:tRNA from 1 species
AAGAUAUUAGUAAAAACAUUACAUAACUUUGUCAAAGUUAAUUUAUAGGUCAAACUCCUUUAUAUCUUA